rnacentral:lncRNA from 1 species
AUAAUAAACUGUUCUUGACUUGUUUUCUUAUUAGCACACUGAACUUCCAUGAAUCUGAUAAACUAGUGAGUUACACAGCCAUUUAACUCUUUUAUCUUCAGCUAACCUUCCGAGACACCAUCCACAAACAUAGCUCCACCAUGAAGGAAAAAAUAUCCUUAGAUAUGCAUUGCUCCUUUUGUAGCAACAAUACUCCACCUGAAACUAUAACCCUUGGAUGCACUUUGUCUCUAUAAGCUGAGCUUCACCAAUCUGAGUUAAAGCCACUUUUCACUGUAUCUUGGAUUCAUUUCCACGUUCUUAUGAAUCACCAUUAUUACUUGCUUGAGAAAGUGUGUCAAAACAUGAGACACAUCUUCUUUCUUCCUUCAGCCACAUCAAAUGAUCCAUUUGCAACCAGAAAACCACUAAGAACUUGUCUUUAAUUUCUGCAGCCUUGUCCUCUCUUUACUUGGAACAUUCUUCAUGAUCUAAUUGUGAAACAACUUAGGUUGAUACACCAUCAAACCAUACCUCAAUCCCAUAAAUAAAAUCUUGUACUUUCCUGUAGCCAAUUCCACUAUAUACUUGUCUUGCACCGCUGUUCAAACGAACAGGACACGCCGCCUAACACCCUUUGGCUAGGAAGACUUUCGACACAAGAAAAUAGUACAGCCAAUUGCAUACCAUCAGAUGCUUCUUU